rnacentral:rRNA from 1 species
GUGGGGAAUAUUGGACAAUGGGCGCAAGCCUGAUCCAGCAAUGCCGCGUGCAGGAAGAAGGCCUUCGGGUUGUAAACUGCUUUUGUACGGAACGAAACGGUCCGGGUUAAUACCCUGGGCUAAUGAUGGUACCGUAAGAAUAAGCACCGGCUAACUACGUGCCAGCAGCCGCGGUAAUACGUAGGGUGCAAGCGUUAAUCGGAAUUACUGGGCGUAAAGCGUGCGCAGGCGGUGUUGUAAGACAGGCGUGAAAUCCCCGGGCUCAACCUGGGAAUUGCGCUUGUGACUGCAAGGCUGGAGUGCGGCAGAGGGGGAUGGAAUUCCGCGUGUAGCAGUGAAAUGCGUAGAUAUGCGGAGGAACACCGAUGGCGAAGGCAAUCCCCUGGGCCUGCACUGACGCUCAUGCACGAAAGCGUGGGGAGCAAACAGGAUUAGAAACCCGAGUAGUCC